UUGCUUUAAGAGGAGGCGGGGCUUAGUUUCUCAGGGGCGGCUGCCGAGUCCCGUCAAUCAGACAAACCCCGGAUCCGGAAGUCACAAGGGGAACCCACGUGGGUGUAGUGGAGUCAGUGAUGGAGAGCGAGCAGAAGUGCUUCGAUUCUGGGGAUUUGCCUGCGCUGCGCCGGAUCCUGUGUGAACAGGGGCUGCUGUCCCGUCCCGAUGGCUCCGCCUCCUGGAUGCAGGGGGACACGUCUGUGAUGGCCGGUGUAUAUGGACCUACAGAAGUCAAGGUCAGCAAGGAGAUCUACGAUAAAGCUACUCUGGAAGUGCUGUUGAGGCCCAAAGUGGGCCUACCAGGUGUCUUUGAGAGGAGCCGAGAACAGAUGAUCAAGAAGACCUGUGAGGCAGUGAUCUUGGGCACCCUGCAUCCCCGCUCUUCCAUUACAGUUGUGCUUCAAGUCAUUACAAGUGCUGGCUCCCUGCUGUCAAGCUGCUUAAAUGCCACCUGCAUGAGUCUGAUGGAUGCCGGGCUGCCCAUGAGUUCCUUGUUCUGUGGAGUGACAUGCGCCUUGGAUGCAGACGGUAACAUCACCCUGGACCCCACAGCAAAGCAGGAAAAGGAGGCCCAGGCUGUUCUGACCUUUGCUAUUGACAGCACAGAAAAGAAGGUGUUGAUGUCAAGCACAAAAGGGACCUACUCUGAGGAAGAGCUCCAGCAGUGCAUUGCCGCCUCCCAGCGAGCUGCUGACACCAUCUUCCAGUUCUACCGCGAUUCUGCUCACAGGAAGUACUCCAAGUGGUGACUCUGCCCACCGGUGGGAUGGAACGGAGACGGGCCGCGGAAGGGGGCAGGUGUGCUCAGCCCAGCACUCCGACUGGUUUUCUGGCACAUUGUCUCACCCCUGAAACCAGAACAGAAGAUAUCAGCCAAGGUCCACAAAGCCGUUGGGUUCCAACCUGUUGACCAGGAUUUUGACCAUUUUCUCUAGAUUGGGGGUUCCCAACCUCUGGUUCUCAGAAGUUCUUGGACUAUAACUCCCAUCAUCCAAAGACAUAGGACAUUGUGGCUGGGAAUGAUGAAUAUUGAAAUCCAAAAACAUCUGGGGGUGUCCAGGCAAUGCAGACUUGUGCAGAAGGUAUCAUAUAGGAGCUCUGAAAAUUACUCUAGUGGAGAUAAAAAGCAGCUGUCUGGAUUCAUACUUGGUCUUCAUGGAAGCUAAUGUGGGAUUUCACAGGUAAGAAGGAACAGCUUUUGUGGACUGUUGAGAAUAAAAGCCAUUCUGGGGUGGGGUUUUGACCUACAGCAGCAGUUUCCACAGGGUGUGUGCACACACAUGAGCAUGCAUAUGCGCUUACAUCCAGUCCCAGUCCCAAACCUUCACUGUAUUUUGCCUGACAAAUAGUUCUGUGUAACUGAAAAUGUGGCACAAUUCUAUCUAUACCAACUCAAGAUUAAGGCAUCACCUUACCUAUUUUCUGUUUCACUUUCCAUGGGGAAAAGCAGAGGAGCUUUAAAGACAUGGGGCCCAAUCCCAAACAGAUGUAAAUUAUCCAGUUGCAGGGGAGUAACAGCAGGAGAGAGGGCAUGCCCUCAACUCCUGCCUGUGGGCUCCCAAGAGGCACCUGGUGGGCCACUGUGUGAAACAGGAUGCUGGACUAGGUGGGCCUCCUUGGGCCUGAUCCAGCAGGGCUGUUCUUAUCCCAAAGGGCAAAGAAUGCCUAGAGUGUCAAACUGACCUGUAUUCCACAGUCCACAAAAAGAAACAUAUCUUCUCCUCCCCACCCCCUGGCAAUAUUAAACAGUUUCUCUUUUAUUUGACUAGCACAAACAAUCAAGCAAUUGCGGCUGACAAGUCUCUGGUGGAAAUUUGCGUCAUCCCACAUGUCAGAAAGUGGCGGGGGACGUCUAUUGCCUGAUCCUGCAUCAUGUGUGUAUAUAACAUUGUGAAUGCCAGGUUGCCUGAUGAGUUUUUUUGUGUGUGGACAAAAAAACCUAAUCUUGCUUUAAAAUAUUCAUGUGGCAGAGGGAAGGAAGCUUCUGCUGAUAGCUGAUUCCCUUCAAUAUGUGCCGAUUUCAAAUAGCCUUGCAUUGGCACUGUGUUUUCAAAAAGUUAGUUCAAUUGUAUUCCUUUUAGGGCAGGCAAUUAAAAGCCCAGGUGGACAAGAGUCCUUGUUUUUGUAUCCUUUACAGAGGCGUAACUAGGGAAAACGGCGCCCGGGGCAAGCACUGAAAUGGUGCCCCGCGCCCCCCCCCCGUGCCCCCCCAACAUACUACAUUAUACUUAGGUUUUUCCUCACAAGCGCCCGCCGCCGCCACCAAGCCAGGCCACUGACUGGCCGCCAGGCGCCAGCAAAGCAAUGGGGGGGCCCGCAGGCGGCGCGGAAGGGACCGCUCGUGGGGAAGGGGGCACCGAUGCGCUCCCUUGACUGCUGCAGCACUGCUGCACUGAGCAGGAAACAUUUGUAUUAACAAAAAAAAAUUUAAAAAUUUUUUUUAAAAAAUUGGUCAUGGCGGCGCCCCCCACGUGACCAGAAAAGAUGGCGCCCGGGGCACGUGCCCCCCCUGCCCCCCCUAUAGUUAUGCCUCUGAUCCUUUAAUAAUGUCUGCUAGUUAACUUGAUCAAUUUUCAGAGCCGGGUGUGGUCCCUGAUUGCAGCCCUGAGCAUGUGCAGAGUGGGCAGGGCCAGAAGCAAAGUUGUGCUUUAAAAAAAAAACACCCCAAAAUGUAAAUGGAGACAGGGUCAGGAGGUGUCUUUGUGAUGACUUCCCUCCUCCUCAUAGCUUGAAGUAACAGGGUUUUUCAAAAUGUUAAUACUAUGGGAAAGGACGACUCCAAGCGGAAGUGAUGCUCCUGCAAAAAUAUUUCCCACUCCCCAUCCACCAGACAGGAACUUUACAUCAAGGACAUAUUAUCGUCCUGUAGCUUAAACUGAUUCUUGUAAUAGGCCUCCAUUGUUUAAAGAAGCCUCAUUCACUCACUCACUCACUCUCUCCUAGAACAGGCGGCACAAGGCAGUUUAGCCAAGUUGGUAGAAGACUCAUUAAUUACACUACCUUAAUUAUAUUGAUUGCCUUUCCUCCAGGAGUAUUUAAUGUAUCGCAGAAUCCUCGCUCCCUUGAUAAUAUCCUUUGCCACCCCUUUGCUCCCCCAAAUUAGUUCUGUCCUGAAGGUGGGACAAAUCCAAAAUGCAGCCUUUUAAAACAGAAUGCUUCAUUUACUCACUGAAGGGCUAUAAAUCGCAUCAAGCAUUUGGAGCAUAACAAGUUUGUUGGUUGCCUUUUUACGAUGCACAAUACUAUGAUUUAUCGAAUGGUAACCCUAUUUUAUUUUUUACGGCUUUGUCGUUGUUAUUACUACUUAUGGCCUUGGUAAAUAAAUUAAUCUUUGCCGCUCUCCUGGUGCCUUCUCCAGCUCAGCGGCUGAGAUCCCAUUCUCUUG